GAUGAACGCUGGCGGCGUGCUUAACACAUGCAAGUCGAGCGAAGCAUUUUAAAGGAAGUUUUCGGAUGGAAUUUAAAAUGACUGAGCGGCGGACGGGUGAGUAACGCGUGGGUAACCUGCCUCAUACAGGGGGAUAACAGUUAGAAAUGACUGCUAAUACCGCAUAAGCGCACAGUGCUGCAUAGCAUAGUGUGAAAAACUCCGGUGGGAUGAGAUGGACCCGCGGCUGACUUGGUAGUUGGUGAGGUAACGGCCCACCAAGCCGACGAUCGGUAGCCGACCUGAGAGGGUGACCGGCCACAUUGGGACUGGGACACGGCCCAAACUCCUACGGGAGGCAGCAGUGGGGAAUAUUGGACAAUGGGGGAAACCCUGAUCCAGCGACGCCGCGUGAGUGAAGAAGUGUUUCGGCAUGUAAAGCUCUAUCAGCAGGGAAGAAAAUGACGGUACCUGACUAAGAAGCCCCGGCUAACUACGUGCCAGCCGCCGCGGUAA
rnacentral:rRNA from 1 species